GUCACCAUCCACCGUGGGCCACCACGCUGGAAAUUGCUUCCGGUGGUGGUGGACACCAAAAUGAAGAACAAACACAUCAACUGGAUCCUCUCUUUCUCCUAAUCCCAAAUAUCCAAUUCAAUUUUCCUGCUUCUUCCUCAAAACCACGAAUCGAUUUCGUUUCUUUCAAGAACCCUAGGAUUAGAAAUCAAAAUUAAACUCUCAAGAUUUGGAUACAAGGCCCUAGAGGUUAGGGAUAUGAUUCCCUUGGCCUCAUUCUACAUCAUGGUAUCAAUAAUGCCUCAAACGAUUGCAAAAAAUAAACUCACCUGCCGGAGAAGAUUGUCGAGAUCAGAGCAAUGCCAGUGCUGAAUAAUCCUAGGAUUAAUGUUAAUUUGCUGAGAUUCCACUUGGUGUGUGCAUGACUAUGCAUUUGGAAAGAGUACGUAUGCUUUGGCUUUGUUUGUUGACUUGCCUUACUGCCUAUUGAUGUGAACCAAUGACAAUACUAUGGGAUUGAAGGUUGCAACUAUUGUUGAUGAUUUGGACUGCUUGCUAACAUUCCAAGCUUAAAUUUCUACAUGAUGUGGAUUUUGCUCAGAUUCUGACUUGACGCAGGGUCAUGGCUUGGUGCAACAAGUUUGUGGACAUUGCAUUGUUGUUGACUGCACUGCUUCAUGGUUUUGUGAGGAUGAUGGUGAGCUUUGAUGGACUGGUGCAGAUCUGUUUUGGUAUGGUUCUAUAGUGGGUUUGUUUUGUGGUUAUGCAUGUGUGGAUCAUGGCUUUUGUUUCAUGCUCCUUGCAAUUUUGACUUGGUGAUUCUCAUGGUUUCAUGUGUGCCACACCUUGUGCAUUGCCUUGAGUUCUUUUUGCAGGUCACAUGCAUAUGAAACAUGGUGGUUGAACCAAAGUAUGCAACAUAACCUCAAGAUGGGGUCUUGGAUCAUUAUGUACAAAAUGCAAGCAUUCAAGGGUCAAGGAUAAAAUAAUGGAUAUUAGGGAUGAAAAUAGGAUUAGGGUUAGGAAAAUUAGGGUCUUGGGGAAUUGGGUUGACUUUAGUCAAAGUUGACCAAAAAGUCAAACGUUGACCAAAGUCAACAUUUGGUCAAAAUUGCCAUUUCUUGUAUUUUUUUUCAUUUAAUGGACACUUUUAUGGUUUAUGAAUGGAAAUUGAUGCUCUUUUGACA